rnacentral:rRNA from 1 species
GUUCCGCCCAAGCGUCCAUAGCGACGGCGGAGUUCGGCACCUCGAUGUCGGCUCACCUUAGCGCGGGGGUGGAGAAGCUCCCAAGCGUUUGGCUGUUCGCCAAUUAAAAAGGUACGCGAGCUGGGUUCAGACCGUUCAGUUCCUGUCCCUCCGGACGGAGAUUGAACGGUCUGAACCCCGAGGAAGACUGUUAGCUGCACGAGACGCAGUGUGCGUAAACGACAACAAUUCACGGCGGCGCGGUACAGGAAUGUAGCGCGACCAUCUCAACUGAUAUCGGAAGAACCCAUCUCUCAUGGGCCAUUCCGAGGGAAGUCGCAAGACGCCCCGAGAGACUGCAUGUUGAGCACCGAGAACCGGUGAAGGUACAGUCCGAUCCUCCGAGUAAUCGGAGUAACGAAAUGCGUGAGACAGGUUGGUCUCCUAUCUACUACAGGCGUUGAUUCUUGCGGAGGGUUGUCCCUAGUAAGAAAUUGCUACUUCAGAGAGAGAUCUCUGAUGACAAUGCGGCUUAUAACGGUGAAGUCUACGGCUCACCUGGCCCGAGAGUGCGGUAUCCGAUGGUCCAGUGGAUAUCGAACUCGCUUGAGGACCAGAUUGACGCUACGAUAAUACCGUGGGAAGUCGAUCAAGUAUUACCUCCACAGACCUAGCGUAUAUCGCGGGCUUCUUGGACGGAGACGGCAGUCUCAUGCUCCAGGUGAAGCGCCGCGGCGACUCUACGCGGGGCGUGCGUUUCAUGGCGACCAUAUGUCUCUAUCAGGACACGCGUCAUGCAGCGCCGCUCUCGUGGGUACGCACGCGACUACAGUGCGGCUACAUAUCGCGCCGGAACGACGGCAUGACGGAAUUGCGUAUCAACGGCUUCGCGCAGGUGCGCGAAUGCCUCGAGACGCUCCUGCCAUACCUGCGUUUCAAGCGGACUCAAGCGAGCGUGCUUAUCAAGGCAUGCAAGAAACUUGAGGAACAAACGAUACGUACCAUACCGAAGCGCGAAUUGCGCGCGCUCGUCGCGCUCUUGUUGCAGAUUCAGAAUGAAAAUUAUGCAAGCAAGAGGCGCAGGACGAGCGAAGAUCUGCACAAAAUACUUGGUUUGACCCCGUAACGACUAGCGUUAAAAGACACGCUGAGUCAUGGGUUGAGGAAUCAUUCCAUCGAGAAUGACUGCUCCCAUGACUAAGAUGCCGCCGCCCUAGUCUGCCACGUGGCGGAAAGGGCGAAGAUAUAGUCUGCGCUCCUGGAAACAGGGGAAUACGUGACGAGAGGACCGGGAUGAACUGACCUCUGGUGUAUCGGCUGUCGCGCCAGCGGCACUGCCGAGUAGCUAUGUCGGGUAGCGAUAACCGCUGAAAGCAUAUAAGCGGGAAGCGCGCUCCAAGAUCAGGAAUCGUUUGAGGCCCCUCGAAGACUACGAGGUUGAUAGGCUCUAGGUAGAAGCGCCGCGAGGCGUGGAGCCGAGGAGUACUAAUGGCUCGAGUCUCUCGUACGG